UCAAAAACCUAAAAAUUAAUUGGUCUUCGCCGCAACCUCGCCAUAGCCAUACCCCGUUCCUCGGAGUCCCAUCACCGGAUCUUCGCUGGUGUUCUGUUUUCGCAACCUCCCCAGAGCCUAGCGUUGUUGUCUUCUUCAUCUUCACACUUCAACUCAGUUAAUUCAUCUCUGGUUGGACCUAAUCUUGCUGUUCAAAGGAUCCUCACUUCACCACUUCGUACAAAAAAUCGAAAAAGUUUACAUGGCCACCAGAACACAAGGUUACGGUGCGAUGUAACUUUGAAAAGAGAGGUGCAGCUAAGAUGUCCCAACUAAUGCAAGAUGUUCAAAAAGACUUGGAGUACAGACCGGGGUAGAUGGGAGCUGAUGUAUGGCAACAAUUAUCGGUACAUUGGAAUUCGUUAAAGUUCAAAAAAGCAUCUGAAAUGAAUAAAAGAAACUGGUCUUCUAUGGAUGGCGCAUCUCUUCACAUUAGAGGAGAAAGGAAAAAGGUGUAGAUCCAUCAUUGACAGAGUUCUAUUUUCGCACACAUCAGAAAAAGGAUCAAAGUUGGGUAGGAGUUCUUGCUGAAUCUGCAUAUGAUAAAUUUGAACAGAAAAAGUUGGAGAUUUCUUCUCGGAAUCUAACUAUUCCAGGAGAGGACGGAGCUGAUAGUCAACCAACUAUUGAAAUGCCACCUGAUUUGGAUAUAUGGGUAGAGUCGGUUGGAAAGAAGAAAGGGAGGGUAUUUGGUCUCGGAACCGCUUCUAAUACUUUGGUUUCAGUAUCAAAGAAACCCUUAAGUCUUUCUAAUGACUCUCAAGAGGUUGAUGCUUUGAGAAGUCAAGUCUAUGCUUUAAAUGCAUCGUUGCAAAGACAAGAAGAAGAGAAUCUGAUGAUGAGGCAACAAUUGCAUCGAAAAGAAAAAGAGAUGGUCGAAGGGAAUAAUAAAAUUUCAUUUUUAAUGAAUCAUUUAGGAUUUGUUGGGUCUUUUUCUCACCUACCACAACCCACUAAUGAAAAUGAUCACACAAAUGAAGAUGGCGUCGAUGAAUCAGAUAAAGAAGACCUUAGUAAUGAAUUAUGAUAUGUACUUUUUUUUUGUUGAC